UCUGGUUGAUCCUGCCAGUAGUCAUAUGCUUGUCUCAAAGAUUAAGCCAUGCGUGUCUAAGUAUAAAUAGUAUACAGUGAAACUGCGAAUGGCUCAUUAAAACAGUUAUAGUUUAUUUGAUAAUUGACAAUUACAUGGAUAACCGUGGUAAUUCUAGAGCUAAUACAUGCUUAAACGCCCGACUUUAUGGAAGGGUGGUAUUUAUUAGACUGAAGCCAAUAUUCCUUGUGUCUAUUGCGGUGAUUCAUAAUAACUGAUCGAAUCUCUUUUUGAGAUAAAUCAUUCAAGUUUCUGCCCUAUCAGCUUUCGAUGGUAGUGUAUUGGACUACCAUGGCAGUAACGGGUAACGAAGAAUUAGGGUUCGAUUUCGGAGAGGGAGCAUGAGAAACGGCUACCACAUCUAAGGAAGGCAGCAGGCGCGUAAAUUACCCAAUCCUGACUCAGGGAGGUAGUGACAAGAAAUAGCAAACCGGGAACCUCAUGGUUUCACGGUAUUGCAAUGAGAACAAUUUAAAACCCUUAGCGAGAAUCAAGUGGAGGACAAGUCUGGUGCCAGCACCCGCGGUAAUUCCAGCUCCACUAGCGUAUAUUAAAGUUGUUGCAGUUAGAAAGCUCGUAGUUGAACCUCUGUCUGGGGCUAGUUUUGGCUUUGGUCAGGCUAGUUCUAGGCAUCCGCCUACAAGACUUAGAGGGCAUUCAGUUGUUCACUAGGAGGAGUAGGCAUUUUACUUUGAAAAAAUUAGAGUGUUUAAGGCAGGCAAUCGCCCGCAUAUAUUAGCAUGGAAUAAUAGAAUAGGACACUUUUCCAUUUCGUUGGUUAUUGGAAUCGUGUAAUGAUUAAUAGGGACAGUUGUGGGCAUUUGUAUUUAAUUGUCAGAGGUGAAAUUCUUGGAUUUAUUAAAGACAAACUAACGCGAAAGCAUUUGCCAAGGAUGUUUUCAUUAAUCAAGAACGAAAGUUAGGGGAUCAAAGACGAUCAGAUACCGUCCUAGUCUUAACUAUAAACUAUUCCGACUCAAUGUUUGACUGGCUUAUAUAACCAGUUGAGCGUUGUAUGAGAAAUCAAAGUCUUUAGGUUCUGGGGGGAGUAUGGUUGCAAAGCUGAAACUUAAAGGAAUUGACGGAAGAGCACAACCAGGAGUGGAUUCUGCGGCUUAAUUUGACUCAACACGGGGAAACUUACCAGGUUAAAACAAUAGUGGGAUUGACAGUUUGAGAGCGCUUUCUUGAUUGGUUGGGUGGUGGUGCAUGGCCGUUCUUAGUUGGUGGAGUGAUUUGUCUGCUUAAUUGCGUUAACGAACGAGACCUUAACCUGCUUACUAGACUGGCGAUCAUCAAUCGUUAGCUCUUCUUAGAGGGAC
rnacentral:rRNA from 1 species